rnacentral:rRNA from 1 species
AUUGAACGCUGGCGGCAUGCUUUACACAUGCAAGUCGAAUGGCAGCACGGGGGCAACCCUGGUGGCGAGUGGCGAACGGGUGAGUAAUAUAUCGGAACAUGUCCGGAAGUGGGGGAUAACGUAGCGAAAGUUACGCUAAUACCGCAUAUGCCCUGAGGGGAAAGGAGGGAUCGCAAGACCUUUCGCUUUCGGAGUGGCCGAUAUCGGAUUAGCUAGUAGGUGAGGUAAAGGCUCACCUAGGCGACGAUCCGUAGCUGGUCUGAGAGGACGACCAGCCACACUGGGACUGAGACACGGCCCAGACUCCUACGGGUGGCAG